rnacentral:rRNA from 1 species
AUGAGCCAUCAGAUCGAUCUGGAGACGAGCGCCCGCACCAUGGCCGCCGGCGACGACGACGACUGGGUGUACAUCGACGGUGACCAAGAGACGAAGUCUUCACCGGCGCCGGCGCCGGCUGUCGUAUGUGCCUCCGAUAGCCUCGACGAGUCGGAGCAUUGCGCACUCGACUUGAAGCUACUUGCCGAUCUCGACUACCUCACUAGGAAAAAGGAUUCCCGGAUCAGUAUGGAUGUCCACGGUGCUGCGACGGAGGUGGUGGCUACCGCGGACGCUGUCGGUGACGGCGCCGUGGAUGACGCCGAUGCCGUGGAAGACGAAGACGACUGCUCUGACAACUCCAACGGAGGCCACCUCGGUCAAGUCGACGACAAGUCCGAGCGGCGUGAGGAUGGGACGUCCGACCUGAGGCUGAAGGGACUGCUCGACAACAUCAAGACCAUUGAAAGGAAGCUGCUCGACUGCCAUUUGGAACUGCUGGACUACUGCCGAAAGACCAUCCAAGACCACCAGAAAGUCACCCCCUUGCCGGCACCGGCGCCGUCAGCGCACGGUUACAACGCUCCUCACUCAGCCGAUGCCUCGUCGUACAGUACAUAUGAUGGUAAAAGCUCUGGCUACGGCUACCUCAGCUACGGCGGCGGAGGUUAUGACGGCGGCCUCUCAGACUAUGACUACGACGGCGGACGUGGAGGUUACUACCGCGGCAUCUCGGGCUAUGACUACGGCGACCUAGGUUACUACUACAACCUCUUAGGCUAUGACUACGCCAUGGGCAGCGGAGGAGGUUACGGCAUGAGCGGUGGAGGAGGUUAUGGCAUGGGCCUCGGAGGAGGUUACGGCAUGAGCAGCGGAGGAGGUUACGGCAUCGGCUCUGGCUAUCGCUACGGUGGCGGCAGAGGCUACGGCCGCAUCUCGGACUAUGGAUAUCCCUACGGCCGCGCCGGAGGUCAUUACUCUGACUUUGACUACGGCGGCCUUGGAGAUCUUUACUACGGCAGCUCUAGCAAUAGCUACGGUUACCGUCCUGAAGACUAUGGCCACGGGUACCGCGUCGGCACGUACCCGGCGCAGCCUGCGGCUUGCGAUCCCUCGUACCCGGCGCAGCCUGCUGGGAGCCAGUACGGCUACAUGGACCUGCCGCGCGUGUCCUCCGUCGUCACCGAUGCCCAGGGCACCGGCGGCGGGGCCUGA